UAUUCAACUACAAGAACUU
rnacentral:tRNA from 1 species